GAAGACAUUUACGGGCUUAUUUGAUUCAAAACAUAUACUGAUUUAUUCAUUUUUUAGAAUGUAAAGAAUCAACCACAUUUUCUUCUUUUCAAAAAAAAAAAAAAGAAAGAAAAAAAGAAAAACGAAGUCCAUUCAUGGAAUUAACGGUUUUCUUAGCUGGCGUAAGACAAUGCAGAAUAAAGAUAAAAACUAUGAAAAAAAACUUUAUGUAAAUAGCCGGUCAAUAUUUUAGUGCUGUUGACCAGUAUAUAAUUCAACAUUAAAUUUUGCUGUACUAAAGUAAUAUUUUGAAGAUAAAAAUAUGUCUGGUGUCAUUUAUACUUAGGACAUUAAAUAAAUGAUUUGCCAGCCAAAAGUCAAAACUAUUGGAUAUUGGUCCUUCGGAGAAUAAAUCGGGCAACUGUUUUUUUUCUAUUGAACGGAAACCUAAUCAAUAAAUGUAUAUUGUAAGACUACCUAGAACUAGUAACAUUUCAGGUAUCCAUUAAUUAUUAAGACUACCUCAUAUUGUUUUUCUUUCUUCUCAUAUUUUUCUAUUCCGAAAGUUUGUCACAAGGACAUACACACAUGUAACAGACAUUAGCAUUGCGAGAUAACCCACUUGUGUGAAGGAGGCAAUAGGUGGAAUUAUCAUUUCAUCUAGAUUCUGAUCUUGCGAUAAUGUUGGAAUUAUUUUGUCUAUUUAUGUUUAUUGAAAUUGCAGGUGCAGCUUGCCCGGCGACAUGGGUUGCACACGGCCAGUCUUGUUAUUACUUUAGUCGUGAUGCUGAAACUUGGCCUGAUGCAUACACAAUUUGCAAAAUAUUCGGAGGAAA